CAUGCAAGUCGAACGGCAGCAUGAUCUAGCUUGCUAGAUUGAUGGCGAGUGGCGAACGGGUGAGUAAUACAUCGGAACGUGCCCUGUAGUGGGGGAUAACUAGUCGAAAGAUUAGCUAAUACCGCAUACGACCUGAGGGUGAAAGUGGGGGACCGCAAGGCCUCAUGCUAUAGGAGCGGCCGAUGUCUGAUUAGCUAGUUGGUGAGGUAAAGGCUCACCAAGGCGACGAUCAGUAGCUGGUCUGAGAGGACGAUCAGCCACACUGGGACUGAGACACGGCCCAGACUCCUACGGGAGGCAGCAGUGGGGAAUUUUGGACAAUGGGCGAAAGCCUGAUCCAGCAAUGCCGCGUGUGUGAAGAAGGCCUUCGGGUUGUAAAGCACUUUUGUCCGGAAAGAAAUGGCUCUGGUUAAUACCUGGGGUCGAUGACGGUACCGGAAGAAUAAGGACCGGCUAACUACGUGCCAGCAGCCGCGGUAAUACGUAGGGUCCAAGCGUUAAUCGGAAUUACUGGGCGUAAAGCGUGCGCAGGCGGUUGUGCAAGACCGAUGUGAAAUCCCCGAGCUUAACUUGGGAAUUGCAUUGGUGACUGCACGGCUAGAGUGUGUCAGAGGGGGGUAGAAUUCCACGUGUAGCAGUGAAAAUGCGUAAAGAUGUGGAGGAAUACCGAUGGCGAAGGCAGCCCCCUGGGAUAACACUGACGCUCAUGCACGAAAGCGUGGGGAGCAAACAGGAUUAGAUACCCUGGUAGUCCACGCCCUAAACGAUGUCAACUAGUUGUUGGGGAUUCAUUUCCUUAGUAACGUAGCUAACGCGUGAAGUGACCGCCUGGA
rnacentral:rRNA from 1 species